rnacentral:rRNA from 1 species
AUUGAACGCUGGCGGCAGGCCUAACACAUGCAAGUCGAGCGAGCGGCGGACGGGGGAGUAAUGUAUGGGGACUGCCCGAUAGAGGGGGAUAACUACUGGAAACGGUAGCUAAUACCGCAUACUAUCGGAUAACCCAUAGGGGAUUAGCUAGUAGGGGAGGUAAUGCCUCACCUAGUCGACGAGCCCUAGCUGGUCUGAUAGGAUGAUGAGCAACACUGGGACUGAGACCCGGCCCAGACUCCUACGGAGGCAGGAGUGGGGAAUCUUGCACAAUGGGCGCAAGCCUGAUGCAGCCAUGCCGCGUGUAUGAAGAAGGCCCUAGGGUUGUAAAGUACUUUCAGUCGGGAGGCGUUACCGACAGAAGAAGCACCGGCUAACUCCGUGCCAGCAGCCGCGGUAAUAC